rnacentral:rRNA from 1 species
AACGAACGCUGGCGGCAUGCCUAACACAUGCAAGUCGAACGAGACCUUCGGGUCUAGUGGCGCACGGGUGCGUAACGCGUGGGAACCUGCCCUUAGGUUCGGAAUAACUCCCCGAAAGGGGUGCUAAUACCGGAUAAUGUCUUCGGACCAAAGAUUUAUCGCCUUUGGAUGGGCCCGCGUUGGAUUAGCUAGUUGGUAGGGUAAAAGCCUACCAAGGCGACGAUCCAUAGCUGGUCUGAGAGGAUGAUCAGCCACACUGGGACUGAGACACGGCCCAGACUCCUACGGGAGGCAGCAGUGGGGAAUAUUGGACAAGGGGCGAAAGCCUGAUCCAGCAAUGCCGGGGGAGUGAUGAAGGCCUUAGGGUUGUAAAGCUCUUUUACCCGGGAUGAUAAUGACAGUACCGGGAGAAUAAGCUCCGGCUAACCCCGU